ensembl:lncRNA novel transcript
AAGGCGUUUUUCGGGAGUCAAGAUGGCCGAAUACGAACAGCUCAGGUCUACAGCUCCCAGCGUGAGCGACGCAGAAGACGGGUGAUUUCUGCAUUUCCAUCUGAGCUGCUGCAGAUGCUGUUUGAAGAAGCUCUGCCCCUCAGCUGCUCUGAUCCUGUGCUUAGCACUCUUAGCCUGGUGCAGGGCCUGCUGUCUGCUCACUCUCACCAUGUCCUGCCCAGGGCCUGACCCUCCUGAGGGGCCCGGGACCCAGCGUGUGUGGCAAGGGGCUCUACGGAUCCUACAGCUCCCAGGAGCCCCCAGGUGAUAGAGUCACCAGUAAACCAGAGCCCAUGCCUCGAGGGAGAGCCCCAAGUGGCAGGAAGAAUGGCAACUCUAAGGCGUGGCUCCACCAAAAGAAUCCUCUCAGGCACCCUAAGGAAUAGGCCCAGAGGCAGAGACUGAGGGAGCAGCACCAAAUUUGGAUUCGAGAGAAGCUGAAGCAUUUGGAACAGAAGGAGGAGGUGGCAGAUGACCAGGUCAAAGGCCUGGUGGCUGAAGAGGAG